AGUGAACGUUGGCGGCGUGGAUUAGGCAUGCAAGUCGAGCGGAAAGGCCCCGCAAGGGGUACUCGAGCGGCGUAAGGGAUAGUAACACGUGGGUAACCUACCUCCGGGACUGGGAUAGCUGUGGGAAACUGCAGGUAAUACCGGAUAACGUCCCCGGACCAAAGGUGUGAUUCCGCCCGGAGAGGGGCCCGCGUCCUAUUAGCUAGUUGGCAGGGUAAAGGCCUACCAAGGCUAAGAUGGGUAGGGGGUGUGAGAGCAUGACCCCCAUCACUGGGACUGAGACACUGCCCAGACACCUACGGGUGGCUGCAGUCGAGAAUCUUCGGCAAUGGGCGCAAGCCUGACCGAGCGACGCCGCGUGCGGGAUGAAGGCCCUCGGGUUGUAAACCGCUGUCAGAGGGAAAGAAAUGCCAUGGGGUUCUCUUCAUGGGUUGACUGACCCUCAGAGGAAGUACGGGCUAAGUUCGUGCCAGCAGCCGCGGUAACAC
rnacentral:rRNA from 1 species